GCUGGCCUGUAGUUCCAACUACCCAGGAGGCUGAGGCAGGAAGAUUGCUUGAGCCCAUUUCUGGGCUGUAGUUCACUAUGCCUAGCAGGUGUCUGUACUAAGUCUGGCAUCAACAUGGUGACCUCCCAGGACCUGGGAACCAACAGGUUGUCUAAGAAGGGGUGAAACAGCCUAGGUUGUAAGUGGAGCAGGUCAGAACUCUUGCACUGAUCAUUAGUGGGAUAGCACCUAUGAACAAACACUGCAUUCCCCUCCAGGCAACAUAGUGAAACCCUGUUUUA
rnacentral:SRP_RNA from 1 species